rnacentral:rRNA from 1 species
CCCGUCACAUCACGAAAGUGGGCUGUACUAGAAAUCGUCGUGCCAACCGCAAGGAGGCAGACGCUCAAGGUAUGACUCAUGAUUGGGGUG